rnacentral:rRNA from 1 species
UACGUAGGUGGCAAGCGUUGUCCGGAAUUAUUGGGCGUAAAGCGCGCGCAGGCGGUCCUUUAAGUCUGAUGUGAAAGCCCACGGCUCAACCGUGGAAGGUCAUUGGAAACUGGGGGACUUGAGUGCAGAAGAGGAAAGCGGAAUUCCAAGUGUAGCGGUGAAAUGCGUAGAGAUUUGGAGGAACACCAGUGGCGAAGGCGGCUUUCUGGUCUGUAACUGACGCUGAGGCGCGAAAGCGUGGGGAGCAAACAGGG